AGAAAAAUCGAUUAUAUCGAUUUAUUUUGAAUAUUAUUUUUAGUCAGAAAAUAAGGAAAUAUGGAAAAUAUUUUUAAGAGGAAGUAGAAAUGAUCGAAGAGUUUAAUUGGCUAUAGAAAAGAGUACUGUAAAGGAAGGGUGAGAAAAUAAGGGGAGUAAAAAAAAAGUAAAGGGUUAUUCUUGUACCUUGUGUAUUAGGGGUCUUUUAUUUUGGUUACUUAUUGUUAAUAAUCCCGAAAGAGGAAUAGCUAAUCUGAAGAAGAAAGUUUUUGUAGCAAAAGAAUUUGAAACUGAGGUUUAGGAGUGAAAUGCUAGUCGAGUUUUUUGAUAUCUGGUUCUUUUAGAAAUAAAUUUAAUUUAUUUUUUGUGCAGUGAAUAGUACAAGGGGAAGGAACAGGAGGGGAGAGCUUUUUGUUAAAUUUUUAAUUUUCUAAAAAGAAGUGAAAAAGAAGGGUAUUAAGCUAGGCUUAGAAGUAGCUUUGUUGAGAGGGUGUUAUAUCUAAAAUUUAAUAACUAUUAAUUUUAUUUUUUUAGAAAGGUAUAAAAGAUUAUUUAGGAUUGUGUAUUGGGUAUUUAAACUUGAGAUAUUAGUAUAUUUAUAUUAUCAGAAAAGAGAGAAAAGUAUAGAAUUUAUUUUUUAGAGGAGGAGGCAUACUUUAUAAAGGAAUUCGGCAAAUUUUAUUUCCGCCUGUUUAUCAAAAACAUCUCUGUAUGAAAGUUUUAUAGAGUUUGGCCUGCCCGUUGGAGUCUGAAAGGCCGCGGUAUUUUGACCGUGCGAAGGUAGCAUAAUCAUUAGUCUUUUAAUUGAAGGCUUGUAUGAAGGGUUGGACGAGAAAUUAGCUGUCUCUGUGGAGAGGGUAGAAUUUAACUUUUAAGUGAGAGGGCUUAAAUAUUUUAAGGGGACGAUAAGACCCUAUAAAGUUUAACAUUAAGAAAUUAAUAAGAGGGUAAAGAGGGUAAAUUUUAUUAAUGAAGCAUUGUUUUGUUGGGGCGACUAGAAUAUAAGUAAUAUAACUGUUUUAAUUUAAAAGUCAAAGAUAUUUGAGAUUUUGAUCCUUAUUAAAGAUAGUAGAACAAAUUACUUUAGGGAUAACAGCGUAAUUUUUUUUGAGAGUUCGUAUCGACAAAAAAGUUUGCGACCUCGAUGUUGAAUUAAAGAGUCUUUAUAGGGCAGAAGCUAUAAAAGAGGGUCUGUUCGACCUUUAAAUCUUUACAUGAUUUGAGUUCAGACCGGCGUGAGCCAGGUUGGUUUCUAUCUCUUAGGUUAUUUUUAGAUUAUUUUAGUACGAAAGGAUUGAGUAGUUAAAAGAUUUUUAUUAUCUAUUUAGUUCUUGUUAAAAAAAGGGGGGAAGUCUCAGAAAAAAAGAAAGUGAUUCUUUUA
rnacentral:rRNA from 1 species